UCCUUAUCCCGUUCGCAAUGGCACUGCAUGAAUUCACGGCUAUGCAUAACGACAGACCGCGGAUCAUACGGUACCAUAGCGGACGGUGAUGAGGUUAAU
rnacentral:pre_miRNA from 15 species